CUUCUCUCUCUCUGGUUCCUCAUCGGCUCAUCCAGCAACUGAGCAAAUCGAGCGAAAGGGUGAAGCCAAGGGGCAGCGGGGAGCAGGAACUGUAGGCGUUACGUGGCGGCCUGGCCCGCGCAGUUCAGCGUUGAGCUCGUCCUCUCAAAGUCUCACGCGCCCCGGCCCCCUACUGCUGCCACUUGAUUACUAUCUCGCUCCUCGACUGCAGGCAGAAGGAAGGAAGGAAGGAAGGAAGUGGUGCCACGGCGGCCGGACCGGACCGGGAGUUGCUAACGACCACACACCUGACAUGUCCUUCGCCAUAUCUGACAUCUCCGUCAGAGCGCAGCAGCCUGCCUAGGCGAUAAGCCCACCGAAUGGCCACCAUGGGCAUGGUCCGAGCAUGCGCGCCUCCUGCCGCCGCACCCUCCACCAGGGACGCUGCCCAGGUGAAGAGGUCGUCCUCGAGGACCGCCCGCGUGCUCGUGCUCGGCGGCACCGGCCGCGUCGGCGGCUCCGCGGCCACCGCGCUCUCCAAGCUCCGCCCCGACCUCAGCAUCCUCGUCGGAGGAAGGAACCGGGAAAAAGGCGAAUCCUUCGCAUCUAAACUCGGAGAGCGAUCUGAGUUUGUCCAAGUUGAUACCCGCAACGCAAGAGUGUUGGAGGAAGCGCUACAGGGGCUUGACUACCUUAAAUCUCUCUCCCCAGGUGUGGAUUUAGUUGUCCAUACUGCUGGGCCUUUCCAAAGGGCGGAGGAGUGCACCGUAUUGCAGGCAGCGAUAUCUACAAAGACAGCAUAUAUUGAUGUUUGCGACGACACUGACUAUUCCUGGCGAGCAAAAGGUUUCCAUGAACAAGCGAAAUCCGCUGGCGUCCCAGCUAUUACUACUGCCGGCAUAUAUCCUGGAGUGAGCAAUGUGAUGGCUGCUGAACUUGUCAAUGCUGCAAGAAGUCAAAAUGAUGGCGAACCAGAAAGACUAAGAUUCUUUUACUAUACUGCAGGUUCUGGUGGUGCGGGUCCAACAAUACUAACAACAAGUUUCCUGCUUCUUGGGGAGGAUGUAAUUGCAUACAACAAGGGAGAAGAAAUCAAACUGAAGCCCUACAGUGGAGCUCUGAACAUUGAUUUUGGAAAGGGGGUCAGAAAGAAAAAUGUUUACUUAUUGAAUUUGCCUGAAGUGAAGAGUGCCUUUAAGAUUUUAGGUGUGCCAACUGUCAGUGCUCGAUUUGGUACUUAUCCUUUUUUCUGGAAUUGGGGAAUGCAGGCUUUCGCAAACUUCUUACCUGUUGAGUUCUUGAGGGAUAAAAAUAAGGUUCAAAAGUUAGUCAAGUCAGUUGAUCCUUUGGUCCGAGCAAUUGAUGUCAUUGCAGGAGAGCGUGUCUCCAUGAGAGUAGACUUAGACUGUUCAAAUGGUCGGAAUACCGUCGGACUAUUUACUCAUAAGAAGCUAUUUGUUGGGCUUUGCAACAGCUGCAUUUGCUUUGGCGGUUCUUGAGGGCAACACCCAGCCAGGUGUUUGGUUUCCAGAAGAGCCAGAGGGAAUAGCAGUCGAAGCAAGGAAGCUUCUUCUUGAGCGUGCAUCUCAAGGGACAAGCAACUUCGUGAUGAACAAGCCUUCCUGGAUGGUAGAAACUGAUCCAAAGGAAGUCGGGCUAGGAAUUUAUGUGUGAGAAGAUUGAGUGUUCUUAAAUUCUUGGAUAUUUGACAGAGCUUGACUAAAUCUUAGGAGUAAAGAGAAGUUGAAUGUGACAGCCAGCACCCAGCAGCAUGUUGAAGUCCCUCAGAUUGAGCAAGAGUUUUUUUUUAAUGAUUGGUUGGGCUAUCUUUAUUUUGAAAGGGUUGUAUACAAAAAUGAUGGUUAUAAGGGGAAAAACUAUUAUGGGAGGAUAAAACAGUUUUGUGCACCACAAGCCAUACACUUGAAUGGUAGUGGAAGCACGGUAAAUACAGCAUCCUAGACCCAGAA